CCGGCGACCGGCGGCACGGUGAGUAACACGUAUGCAACCUGGCCGGUCACAGGUGGAUAACCGGAAGAAAUUCCGACUAAUACAGCAUAACAACUCCUGAGGGGACAUCCUUCGGGAGUCAAAGGAGGCAACUCCGGUGACGGAUGGGCAUGCGGCGCAUUAGGUAGUUGGUAGGGUAACGGCCUACCAAGCCGACGAUGCGUAGGGGUUCUGAGAGGAAGGUCCCCCACAUUGGAACUGAGACACGGUCCAAACUCCUACGGAAGGCAGCAG
rnacentral:rRNA from 1 species